rnacentral:rRNA from 1 species
AACGGGUGAGUAACACGUGGGUAAUCUGCCCUGCACUCUGGGAUAAGCCUGGGAAACUGGGUCUAAUACUGGAUAUGACCUUUCUCCUUAUGGGGUUUGGUGGAAAGUUUUUCGGUGUAGGAUGAGCCCGCGGCCUAUCAGCUUGUUGGUGGGGUGAUGGCCUACCAAGGCGACGACGGGUAGCCGGCCUGAGAGGGUGAUCGGCCACAUUGGGACUGAGAUACGGCCCAG